rnacentral:rRNA from 1 species
GAUGAACGCUAGCGGCAGGCUUAACACAUGCAAGUCGAGGGGCAGCGCGGGAUAGCAAUAUCCUGGCGGCGACCGGCGGAAGGGUGCGUAACGCGUGAGCGACAUGCCCGUUGCCCGGGGACAACCGGUGGAAACGCCGACUAAUCCCCGAUGGGAUACGAUGCUUCAUGGCAUUGUAUUGAAAGUUACGGCGGCGACGGAUUGGCUCGCGUCCGAUUAGCUGGUUGGCGGGGUAACGGCCCACCAAGGCUGCGAUCGGUAGGGGUUCUGAGAGGAAGGCCCCCCACAAUGGGACUGAGCCACGGCCCAUCCUCCUACGGGAGGCAGCAGUGAGGAAUAUUGGUCAAUGGGCGGAAGCCUGAACCAGCCAUGCCGCGUGCGGGAAGGAGGCCCUAUGGGCUGUGAACCGCUUUUGCCUGGGGGCAAUAAGGGCGUCGCGCACGUCCGAUGAGAGUACCAGGCGAAUAAGCAUCGGCUAACUCCGUG